CCCGGUGCGCAGGCAACGGUUACUUCCACUGAGAAUGGGCGGGUUGCGGGUUCGAAUCCCGUCACCGCGGG
rnacentral:tRNA from 1 species